rnacentral:snRNA from 1 species
GCGAGAGACCGAUAGCGAA